UCCCUCGUAGCCCAACAGGAAGAGGCACCGGUGUUAGGUACCGGGCAGUGCGAGUUCGAAUCUCGCCGAGGGAACCA
rnacentral:tRNA from 1 species